AUUCAAUAAAAGCAUCUUAAUCUGGAAUACAAAUAGAUAAAUAUGGCUCAAGCAAAAUUUUCAGUUGUUCUCCCCAUCGUCUUCCUUGUUAUGUUUGCUUUAGUUGAGGAUAGUAUGGGAUGUCAGGCAAGUCUUGGCGAUUGCCGUAUAUGUGGAGUCAAAUGCAGUGCUUAUGGAAAAGGUGCAGAGGCUCACUGUGAUUACCGCUAUGACGGUGGUGUUUGUAUUUGCGACUUUCCUUGUAAAGAAUAUAAGCCUCCUCCUGGUCCUCCACCAAAAAUUUAAGAUGAAAAAUUAUUAAAAAUUAAUAAGAAGAAAUAAUACUUUGAAUCUCA